GGCCCCGUCAUCUAGCGGCCAAGGAUUCCGCCCUCUCACGGCGGCCACGCCGGUUCGAAUCCGGUCGGGGCUA
rnacentral:tRNA from 1 species